AAAUUCUCAACGAUGGAUGUCUUGGUUCCCACAACGAUGAAGAACGCAGCGAAGUGCGAUAAGCAGUGCGAAUUGCAGAACCGUGAGUCAUCAGAUUUUUGAACGCAACUGGCACCGUACGGCCUCUGGUCGUCGGUACGCCUGGUCCAGUG
rnacentral:rRNA from 1 species